AAGACAGGCGUCUGCUACCUUAACCAACACAGGUGGCUGGUGACAUAUCAAUUAAGCGUCACAACCAACAAACGCCGUAACAAUCAAGCGGUGCGCAUGUUUCGUCGACUAUAGCAGAGAUGUGGAGAAUUGCGGCCUUGCUGUGUCUGGUCGCGGCUACCAGUGUUUGGAGCUAUUCGCUGGACUAUGACUGUUUACCCUGCUACAAUGGUUUGUUCCUCACUCCCACCGGACAGACGCCCAUCGAGUACCCGUGCCCGAACCCCCAGUACUGCCCCUACGGUAUAGUGAUGGACUCAUGUCACUGCUGCUACCAGUGCGCCAAGGGCCCGUACGAGAAAUGUGGCGGUCCGCGCAAUAUCUACGGCAGGUGCGCGCGAUCGUUGAAAUGUUACAAACGCAUCGACGACCCGCUCGCUGUGGGGAUGUGCGUGCACCGCAGACGUAAGUCACGUAACGCCUACAGACGCAGACGCUACUACCGCUAGACACAUCCGCCGGAAGAGACGUCAUCGGGACGCGUUUUUCCACUAGACACAUCCCGCGGCGUCAUGGCGAAGCGGCUUUCCACUAGACACAUCCCGCGGCGUCAUGGCGACGCGGCAUUCCACUAGACAUAUCCCGCGGCGUCAUGGCGACGCGGCUUUCCACUAGACACAUCCCGCGGCGUCAUGGCGACGCGGCAUUCCACUAGACACAUCCCGCGGCGUCAUGACGACUCGUUUUUCCACUAGCGUCCCAUUCUUACUAGGAAAUCAGCGUAGAACUAGAUUGUUGCUUUGCGAGUUGAUGUUUGUUCAUGGUCAUUACUUCGAUGGUAAUUAGAGGUAUUCUGUUGAUUCGUUACGCCUGUGUCUCUCACGAACUGUUAUCUAUGUGUGUUAUUAUCUUUAUCUUUAUGUUCGACGCACCACGAUUUGUCUAGAUACAUUCGCCAUCAUGAUGUCACUAACGUGCGUCACGUGACCACAGUGCGUAUCACGCGAUAUCCGCGUGUCAGUGUAAAUAUGUACACGAACAUACUCUAUCGACUAUUACUCAUUGUUACGUCACGGAUUUCGUGUUUGAUUUCUUUAUUACUUCAUAAUAAACGCGUUGUUAUUUGCUAAACCAA
rnacentral:lncRNA from 1 species